AGUAAGUACUGCUCUUUCUGCCAUCCCAUUUAACUAAAAAUACCUUGGACUAGAUGUUUCAUAUUAUUUAUAUUACCAAAAACUAUUGAAUUCACUUUAACUAAAUGGUUAAUUGUCAGAGUAAAUAAUUUUUGGAUAACCAUGUGUGCUGAAAAUGCUUUUAAAGUGCAAAAUAAUAUCCUUAGCCGUCUUCUUAUUGAGUCAAAUU